CAAACCUCUGCGCCACCCAGGGAUCCCUAUUCAUAUAUUUUAAAGGUGAGAACCUACUAGAAUUCCUGGAGAUAAAACCCAUGAAAAUGCGGUGGAUCAUCUGAGACUUGGCUCCUCACUCAAGCUAGUCCAAUUCAGCCUCCAGCAAUUCACUGAGGUUAUCAUUUAUGUAUUUCUACCACAUAAACGGCUUCUGUUCAGGUAUCCUGCUCAGGUGAAGCCAUUAAAGGAUCUCUGGUCUAGCAAGUCUCUACUCAUCAGACAGGGAAGGAGGAACUUCUGCUGACCAGGGUGGCACUUAGGAAUCUGAGGAUACUCAAAGUUAUUGUGAAACCUCCCUUGACCUGUGAGCCAGCCUUCAGAAGAAGAGGCAGCUGGGAAUCAUUGCCCUGGGGAUGCUCUGGGAUCCAGAACAGGGGUAGUCUAGUAUUGAAUCUCCUGGAUGGGAAGAAAGCGACUCAACUGCUCUGCGUUUCACACUUUAACAACACCCCUUCCCAUAUUCCACCAGAGUAGGAUAACGAACUCUGCCAUUCCAAGGAAGCCUAUGAAGUUGUGCACUUUUCAGAACUGAUCCAUCCAGUUUACUACUACACAUUUCAGAUUCAAAGCAUGGAUUCUAAACCUCAGGGGACACAAAUGAGAGCGCUCUUACCUUUUUUAUAAAGUUGUCUAUCAAUUCAAAGCUGGAGGAAUUAGGUGGACAAAGAAUGCAUGGGGCUACACUCUCUGAUAAAUUAUAAGCUGUCAUCUGAUUGGAUGAAGAUUGUUGCUCAAUGUUGUAUAACCCUCCAAAAAGGUAUCACAAGAGAACAACAUUCGCUUUUGGCAGCUGGGCUAGAAGCCUAAAGUCAGAAAGAUACACUUUUGAAUAAGGCAAGUCAUUGCACUUAGGAAGCUGGAAGUAUAGAGAUGUAGAACGGAGAACAUCUUUCUAGAUCUAGUUCACAACCUGCUAUAGCAGAGUUCGAGGCAUGAAUGUAUACGAAAAUGUUUCACUGAAUUCGAUUUCUGAGCUAAUCCACUCUGGUUAAAUGUUUGACAAACGUAAGGUUAUACCACGGGCUGUUGAUGCUCUAGGAUCUCCCUUAGGCCAGUGAGUUUUGUCUACCAGUUUCAUAUAUUCAGAAGGUGUACAAUGGCUAAGGAUUCUACAUUAAUAAGGUCAGGCAAAGAGCAAUAAUAGCCAUAAGGCAUGCCUGUAUUCUGAAACAUUCCUCCAUGGGUCUGAAGAAUUAAAACUCUUUGGCUUUGAUUGUUACUUUAGUGGACAAAGUGGCAAAUGUAAACCAAUCUUUUCCUAAAAGUAUAUUGCCUGUAUUUCUGAGACAUGACCAGAGUAGAGAAAUUAUUGCAUCAUUACCUCUGGGCUGCAUUUAUUUUCUCCUCCUCAGUCACUUCAUCAAAAACACCAAGCCAUUUAUCAUAGAGGUCGGAUAAAAGUAAACUUCCUUGGAUAUUUAGAAGAAAAUACUAUGUAGAUAAAAAAUACACGCACGCACACACACACACACACACACACACAUAUAUUGGAAAUAUUACAGAGAAAACACUUAGUUGAAAACUUCAGUUAAGUCCCUACUUCCUUCAUAGAUACCCAAACUGUGACCCACACGGAGCUCAGCUCUGACUCUCCAUUGACGUGCACAUGAGAAAGCAGGUGUGUGGAUUUUCUCCAACAAAAACGAAAGCAUCAAAGCAGAGCCUAGGCUUUAGUGGAAAUGAAGACAAAGCUCCGUUCUAGCAUAUGGCACUUACUCUUUUGUGUGCUUUUUUGCAAACUACUAAAAAAACUACUCUCAUAAUUGCAUCAUUCUUCCUUUCAAUCACUGUAUCAGAUAGUCUAAUGGCAAACUCAUGAUGGUCCUGAGGAUAUAUUCAUUUCUAGUGUAGGCCAAUUCUCCAGAUAGUUUGACAUGAUACUAUUCAGGCCAAGGUUGCAGAGUCUGAUUCUCCACAAAGAUUAGUCAACUUUAGGAAGGGAAAACUUUAGAAAUGUCUAAGAACUCUACAUACUCUUGGUCACCAUCUUCCUAGUCUGUGAUUAUAACACAGAAAUAGAAAAGACCCUACUAAGUCUUGCUAGAAACAUCAAUUCCAUGUGUGCAGCUUAAAGAGGGCACACUUACCAUGCUAUUCAAGUACUUAAUGUAUCAUCAUUCUUUCCUCUUUCUCUUGUUGUCUAUACAUAUAUUUACUGGUGUGUUUUACUAUAGCCCAGUGUAGUAGUGGUCAGGGACUAUUGGUAUCUAUCAUAGAGUUGAACAGUAAUGGGGGACAAGGAAGGACCAAAUAUGACCUUGAUUCUAAGGGUGUCCUCAUUACUGCCUUAACAUAGUUUUGUUCAGAGCUGUUAGCAAGUGCCAAGGUAGAUGGAUUAAAUUGUUUGUUCUAGUUCUCACUUCUUUCUCCAUUUCCCUUUUAGGAAUAGAACUGGAUAUCUGUGAAUUAGCUGUAUAAUUUCAAAAAUCUAUUUUUUGAGUCAAUCUAUUGAAUUUUAAGAAUCGAAACUAUUUUUGUCUGUUGUGCCUACUCCAAAAGUUAGAUUUAUCAAAAGAGGCAUGUAGCUAGAGCUGGUUACCGUGUCGUUAUAACCUUGGAUGGUGGGAUAGACAUCUCAAAUAUUAAUAAAAGGAUGCUUAGGAUGUGGUGAAAGCAGACACAAAUGGUAAAAUCCUUCCUCCCUGACUUAUAAAGUAAAAGGCAUUAAGAGACAGGAGAAAAUGAUGCUUAAGAAUGAUUGCCUCACUGAGCCUUUUUGGAUUCCUCAUAAAGUAAACACUUGCUUACUAUUGUAAUCUUCUAUGUCUAUUCUCAAAUGUUUCAUAUGAUUUUUCUUUUGGAAACUGCCUGCAUUAGGAGGGUGGUGAGGAUGUCAUCAAAAGCAGGAUGUUUGCUUUGUAAACAUUAUGUAUGUGCCAGUGGAUAUUUUGAAAUUUCUUAUUAUUACUAGUAGUCAUAUUAAUAUUAGUAUUUUGCAUGGGGUCUUCAGGCGGGUGGUGAAUGGUGAAAACAGAAUAUAUUUCUAAUGUAUGGGGCUUUUAAAUCCUACAGUAGCUUCCUUAAAUUUUGAUUUCAUGAAGUGUUUUCCAGUGUGUCAAGUUCUUAAUCAGUUAUGCCUAUGAUGGUUCCUGGGCAAUCAUAAUGAAAGACACCAAUCACACCUUGAGUUAUUCAUGUGUGGAUAAAGCUAGAACUUUCCCCACCUUUAAAACAGAUGCUACCACAAGAACAGAUUCACUGUCCAAGUUCACUCUGUCCCCAGAAUUUAGUUUCUCCUUUAGGAUUCUGCAUGAUUUUCUACUUCCUGAUUUUCUGAAGAUGCCUUUCGUGAGUGGUCCUUUCUGAUUGAUAAAUGAAAGCAUAUCCUGUAGGAAAAGAAGAAUAGUAUAUGGCAUUUCAUAUCCCAAUCCCAGAGCAAAAGCUUGCUUCCUUUUUGAAAGACCUAGGGAAUGUGACAAUAUGUGGUUUUACAGCUUGGGGGACUAAAGUCAAUUUAGAUUCUUUAGUCAAUGUCUCUCUAUAGUUUCUACCCAAAAAUCCACCUUACAGUCAUACACUGAAACAUUGUAAUCACUUAUUUUAAUAAGAUUUUUUCAUUGAAUUUA